AGGGAAGGGGCGGCAAGCUACACAUGCAAGUCGGGCGGUAACAGGGAGAAGCUUGCUUCUCUGCUGACGAGCGGCGGACGGGUGAGUAAUGUAUGGGGAUCUGCCUGAUGGAGGGGGAUAACUACUGGAAACGGUAGCUAAUACCGCAUAAUGUCUCCGGACCAAAGCGGGGGACCUUCGGGCCUCGCACCAUCAGAUGAACCCAUAUGGGAUUAGCUAGUAGGUGAGGUAACGGCUCACCUAGGCGACGAUCCCUAGCUGGUCUGAGAGGAUGAUCAGCCACACUGGGACUGAGACACGGCCCAGACUCCUACGGGAGGCAGCAGUGGGGAAUAUUGCACAAUGGGCGCAAGCCUGAUGCAGCCAUGCCGCGUGUAUGAAGAAGGCCUUCGGGUUGUAAAGUACUUUCAGUCGGGAGGAAGGUGUUGAGGUUAAUACCCUUAUCAAUUGACGUUACCGACAGAAGAAGCACCGGCUAACUCCGUGCAGCAGCCGCUA
rnacentral:rRNA from 1 species